GAUGAACGCUGGCGGCGUGCUUAACACAUGCAAGUCGAGCGAAGCACCUACCAAGGAUUUCCUCGGAAUGACUAAUAGGUGACUGAGUGGCGGACGGGUGAGUAACGCGUGGGUAACCUACCUCAUACAGGGGGAUAACAGUUAGAAAUGACUGCUAAUACCGCAUAAGCGCACAAUAUCGCAUGAUAUAGUGUGAAAAACUCCGGUGGUAUGAGAUGGACCCGCGUCUGAUUAGCUAGUUGGUAAGGUAACGGCUUACCAAGGCGACGAUCAGUAGCCGGCCUGAGAGGGUGAACGGCCACAUUGGAACUGAGACACGGUCCAA
rnacentral:rRNA from 1 species